GAUAAAGACGAAUGCAGUGAAGGAAAUCAUUCUUGUCAGGAGGUUUCUAACUGCUUGAACACGAUUGGUUCACACAAGUGUAUCUGCGAAGGGGGUUUCCUGGAGGAUAGAAUCUCCUGUACAGGCUCUUUGGUAAUUUUGAUCAGCGCUGCUGUAGGUGUCGUUCUUCUUCUCGUCUUCUGUACUGGUGCUGUGAGGUUACUGAGAAAGCGGCGUCGGCCCCGGGAUGUUACACACAAGACCCAGGAGAUGACCGCAGUGCCUUGGAAAGGGUCGGAGCGAUCCCAUGAACUCCCUCAGCAUAACCUCCUCCAGCAGAUGUGGUUGGACCCAUGGAACUCGCACUCACGAUUCUUCGCUAAUGACUUGUAUGAAGGUUACGACGACAGUGUCUGUGAGAGAAGCACAACUCAGACGUCAACCUGUAAACCAGCGGGCGACCUUCCAGAUACUUUCACAACCUCCACUGGACUUAGCUCUUCCAGCGUGGAAACGUUUUCUAGUUUUUCUACAGUCUCAGACCCAAGCGCACCACCGAUAUACGCAAACGCCGUAUGCCAUUCAAACGAUUAAAUUUUCCUGUACAUUUAGAAGCCGAUAAAUUCUCCGCUCAUCGUCUCGAUAUUUAUACCAUGUCAAAAUCACAUUAACGCGCUUGAUGUUGAAGUCCAUGGGAAUGGGCGCCACGGCUCAUUACUAUCACAGAUGAUGACAGAAAGAAAAUGUAUUCAUCUUUCCACAUGUCUCGAAACACACCGAGUGGAUUGGCAAAUAAAUGACAAUUUGAUAUAAGCAGUGUCAUGAAAAUACGAGGCAAUGUUAGUGUCGUGGAUAGUUUUGUGACUGUUUUGGAUUUCGUGAAAUUUAGAAUGUUUUUGAAUGCGAUUGCUCUAACAAUUUAUAUACUUGUACACUGACCCUUAGUAGAAUAAGUUUGAGAAGGGUGUCGAAAUUCUGUCGAAAAUAUAACGUCACAAAAAGUUUUGAAUUUUGAGAUAACUUUGACGUAUUCUGAUGUAUUCCAGGCCGAUGAUUUCUGUUCUGCGGAAAGCUUUUGCCCGCGUUGUGUAGUUUUCAAAACUCUUUGUGUGAGACUACAGGACAUUUUCACUGCAGUUUACCUUGGGAACGCGCAUCAAGCUUGCUCCAAUGUAGUCUUUCUGUCUUUUGUUCUCGGCUAUGAACAGAAGAUCAAAGCCACAUAAUAUCUAUACUGGCCUAUGCUACCAGUCCCGUUGUACGGCAUACCUACCAAUCUCGAGUUCAAAUCCAGGACAUUCCUUUUUCUUCUUUCACCUUUUUUCUUCAGUGCAUAUAGAGACGAUCCCUGGAAUUGGUGUCCUCGACAUAUAGAUACUACGGCAAUCUUGUUCCUUGUUAUACAUGCUGCCAGAAUGGGGCGUGACGUUGUUUUUUUUUUCAUUUCACCACGUCUGCGUAAAAGUUCUUCUACAGUGACGACGAUACACCAACGAAAUGACGUUGAAUAUAGCGUAAAACCAGCAUGUUCUUUAGCAUUUAUAGGACUCGUGAAAAUAAGUACAUAGGUUGUAGUGAUAUUAAUCGCCGCAUUUUGUAUUUGCUCGCGAAAGCCUGUGCUAAGCGGUGUAUGUGCUAAUUGUGUAUUACCUUUAUUGAUAUAUAUUUAAUUAUAAAUGUUUAACAAUGCGGAGAGUCAACAUACAACUAUGAAUGCCCGAUGUGUGCCUUAAAAGCCUUGCCAUCCCCUAUGUUGUCUCGGACUUAAAAAAAAAUCUCGGCCGCUCCACUUGAACGGCUACGUUACCAUACAACAUUUGUUUUGACGAGAUCACUGUGACAUGUAAUCCCAGACACAAUAAUCAGCUUAUGAAUUAGGAGUUACCAUUUAGGAGAACUUAGGUGUCCCUUAUUGUUGCACAUGUCGCAAGUUACACGUUUUAGUGAA